AACAGGAUUAGAUACCCUGGUAGUCCACGCCGUAAACGAUGUCGACUUGGAGGUUGUUCCCUUGAGGAGUGGCUUCCGGAGCUAACGCGUUAAGUCGACCGCCUGGGGAGUACGGCCGCAAGGUUAAAACUCAAAUGAAUUGACGGGGGCCCGCACAAGCGGUGGAGCAUGUGGUUUAAUUCGAUGCAGCGCGAAGAACCUUACCUACUCUUGACAUCCACGGAAUUUGGCAGAGAUGCCUUAGUGCCUUCGGGAACCGUGAGACAGGUGCUGCAUGGCUGUCGUCAGCUCGUGUUGUGAAAUGUUGGGUUAAGUCCCGCAACGAGCGCAACCCUUAUCCUUUGUUGCCAGCGAUUCGGUCGGGAACUCAAAGGAGACUGCCGGUGAUAAACCGGAGGAAGGUGGGGAUGACGUCAAGUCAUCAUGGCCCUUACGAGUAGGGCUACACACGUGCUACAAUGGCGCAUACAAAGAGAAGCGACCUCGCGAGAGCAAGCGGACCUCAUAAAGUGCGUCGUAGUCCGGAUCGGAGUCUGCAAUUCGACUCCGUGAAGUCGGAAUCGCUAGUAAUCGUGGAUCAGAAUGCCACGGUGAAUACGUUCCCGGGCCUUGUACACACCGCCCGUCACACCAUGGGAGUGGGUUGCAAAAGAAGUAGGUAGCUUAACCUUCGGGAGGGCGCUUACCACUUUGUGAUUCAUGACUGGGGUGAAGUCGUAACAAGGUAACC
rnacentral:rRNA from 1 species